AACGAACGCUGGCGGCAUGCCUAACACAUGCAAGUCGAACGAGACCUUCGGGUCUAGUGGCGCACGGGUGCGUAACGCGUGGGAACCUGCCCUUAGGUUCGGAAUAACUCCCCGAAAGGGGUGCUAAUACCGGAUAAUGUCUUCGGACCAAAGAUUUAUCGCCUUUGGAUGGGCCCGCGUUGGAUUAGCUAGUUGGUAGGGUAAAAGCCUACCAAGGCGACGAUCCAUAGCUGGUCUGAGAGGAUGAUCAGCCACACUUGGACUGAGACACGGCCCCAGCUUCCUCGGGAAGCCGGCAGUGGGGAUAAUUGACAAUGGGCGAAAGCCUGAUCCAGCAAUGCCGCGUGAGUGAUGAAGGCCUUAGGGUUGUAAAGCUCUUUUACCCGGGAUGAUAAUGACAGUACCGGGAGAAUAAGCUCCGGCUAACUCCGUG
rnacentral:rRNA from 1 species